rnacentral:rRNA from 1 species
CCUACGGGGGGCAGCAGUGGGGAAUAUUGCACAAUGGGGGAAACCCUGAUGCAGCGAAGCCGCGUGAGUGAUGAAGUAUCUCGGUAUUGAAAGCUCUAUUUGCAGGGGAGAAAACGACGGUACCUGAUUAAGAAUCCCCGGCUAACUGCGCGCCAGCAUCCGCGGUAACACGUAGGGGGCCAGCGUUAUCCGGAUUUACUGGGUCUAAAGGGAGCUUAGUCGGCAACACAAGUCUGGAGGGAAAUGCCGGGGCUUAACCGCGGAACUGCUGUGGAAACUGGGCAGCUAGAGUGCAGGAGAGGUAAGCGGAAUGCGUAGUGUAGCGGUGAAAUGCGUAGAUAUCAGGAAGAACACCAGUGGCGAAGGUAGCUUACUGG